rnacentral:rRNA from 1 species
UACGGGGGGGGCAAGCGUUGUUCGGAAUUACUGGGCGUAAAGGGCUCGUAGGCGGCCAACUAAGUCAGACGUGAAAUCCCUCGGCUUAACCGGGGAACUGCGUCUGAUACUGGAUGGCUUGAGUUUGGGAGAGGGAUGCGGAAUUCCAGGUGUAGCGGUGAAAUGCGCAGAUAUCAGGAGGAACACCAAUGGCGAAGGCAGCUCGCUGGGACGGUACUGACGCUGAGACGCGAAAGCGUGGGGAGCAAACAGG